UAGGGGGUCUGAGAGGACGACCCCCCACAUUGGGACUGAGACACGGCCCAGACUCCUACGGGAGGCAGCAGUGGGGAAUAUUGGGCAAUGGGCGCAAGCCUGACCCAGCGACGCCGCGUGCGGGAUGACGCCUUUCGGGGUGUAAACCGCUGUCACCGGGGACGAACCUGCCUGGUUCGAAUAGGUCCAGGCACUGACGGUACCCGGAGAGGAAGCACCGGCUAACUCUGUGCCAGCAGCCGCGGUAAGACAGAGGGUGCG
rnacentral:rRNA from 1 species